GUUCUACUGAGGCGUUGGUGACUGCCAAUACUGUUUUUUGAUCUAUGUCUGUUCUUAAAAGGGAAUCUAGCGCUCUUGUGACAGUAGACCGGGCUUGUACCCGGAAACUUCAAACGAGGGUCUAAUGGUGCCCACCUGGUUCUCCAGGUCAUAAACUGAGGUAAGACGGCGUCAUGGGGAAUCU
rnacentral:other from 1 species